AUGGGGAGCUUGAGGGAAGAGCUACUCAAAGCCAUCUGGCAUGCCUUCACUGCAGUCUACCAUGACCACAGUGGCAAAGUCUCCAAGUCCCAGCUCAAGGUCCUUUCCCAUAACCUGUCCAUGGUUCUGAAGGUUCCUCAUGACCCGGUUGCCCUUGAAGAACACUAGGGAUGAUGAUGAGGGGCCAGUGUCCAACCAGGGCUACAUGCCUUAUUUAAACAAGUUCAUUUUGGAAAAGGUCCAACACAACUUUGACAAGAUUGAAUUCAAUAGGAUGUGAUGGACCCUCUGUGUCAAAAAAAAAAAAAAAAAAAAAAAACCUCACAAAAGAAUCCCCUGCUCAUUACAGAAGAUGAUACAUUUAAAGUAUGGGUUAUUUUCAACUUUGUAUCUGAGGCCAAGUAUCCAUUAAUUAUUGUGACAGAAGAGAUGGAAUACCUGCUUAAGAAGCUUACAGACGCUAUGGGAGGAGGUUGGCAGCAAGAACAAUUUGAACAUUAUAAAGUCAACUUUGAUGACAGUAAAGAUGGCGUGGGAACUUAUCGAGCUUAUUGGAAAUGGACAGUUUAGCAAAGGCAUGGAUUGGCAGACUGUGUCUAUGGCAAUUAAUGAAGUCUUUAAUGAACUUAUACUAGAUGUAUUAAAACAGGGUUACACGAUGAAAAAGUGCCACAGACCGAAAAACUGGACUGAAUGAUGGUUUGUACUAAAACGCAACAUAAUUUCUUACUAUGUGAGUGAGGACCUGAAUGAUAAGAAAGGAGACAUUCUCUUGGAUGAAAACUGCUGUUUAGAGUCCUUGCCUGACAAAGAUGGAAAGAAAUGCCUUUUUCUCGUAAAAUGUUUUGAUAAGACUUUUGAAAUUGGUGCUUCAGCUAAGAAGAAGAAACAGGAGUGGAUAAAAGCCAUUCAUUCUACUAUUCAUCUGUUGAAGCUGGGCAGCCCUCCACCACACAAAGAAGCCUGACAGCGUCUGAAGGAACUCCGGAAGAAGCAACUGGCUGAACAAGAGGAAGUGGAGCGACAAAUGAAGGAGCUCCAGGCCGCCAACGAAAGCAGGCAGCUGGAGCUGGAGGCCGUGCGGAAGAAACAAGGAAGCAGCAUCCCGUGCAGCAGAAGAGGAAAAGAAACGCCUUCAGACUCAACUGGAACUUCAGGCCAGGUUCAGCACAGAGCUGGAAAGAAAGAAGCUUAUUAAACAGCAGAUGGAAGGACAGGUUGCUCCAAAGUCCUCUGAACUGGGACAGUAUUUACAGCGAGUACGGGAGCUGGAAGACAUGUACCUAAGGCUGCAAGAGGCUCUUGAGGAUGAGAGACAGGCCCGGCAAGAUGAUGAGACGGUGCGGAAGCUUCAGGCCAGGUUGUUGGAGGAAGAGUCUUCCAAGAGGGCUGAACUAGAAAAGUGGCACUUGGAGCAGCAGCAGGCCAUUCAGACGACUGAGACAGAGAAGCAGGAGUUGGAGAAUCAGCGUGUCCUGGAGAAGCGGGCCCUGCAAGAAGCCAUGGAGCAGCUGGAGUUGGAACGGAAACAAGCACUUGAGCAGUACUAGGAAGUUAAAAAGAAGCUGGAGAUGGCAACUAAUAAGACCAAGAGUUGGAAGGACGACGUGGCCCAUCGUGAAGGAUUAAUUCAACUGAUAGAACCAGGUUCAAAGAACCCUCACCUGAUCACUAACUGGGGACCUGCUACUUUCGUUGAGGCAGAACUUGAAGAGAGAACUGGAAAGAGAAAAAGACCACGGAGUGACUGAGUUUGCUGGCUCAUAUCACGUCAGUUAUGUAGAUACUACAUGGUGGGAGAGCUUUAUGCUAAAGACAAAAGAAACAGCUUUGGGAGCUGGGCAUGGUGGCUCACGCCUGUAAUCCCAGCACUUUGGGAGGCCGAGGCGGGUGGAUCGCCUGAAGUCAGGAGUUCAAGACCAGCUUGGCCAACCUGGUGAAACCCUGUCUCUACUAAAAAUAGAAGGAAAAAAAAUUAGCUGGGCAUGGUGCCAGGCGCCUGUAAUUCCAGCCACUUGGGAGACUAAGGCAAGAGAAUCACUUAAAUCCAGGAGGCAGAGGUUGCAAUGAGCCCAGAUCAUGCCACUGCACUCCAGCCUGGGUGAGAGUGAGAUUCCAUCCAAAAAAGAAAAAGAAACGGCUUUGCUGCUUUUAACUCUUCUUCCUUCUGUGCCUCUCUAAGUGGGUCAAUAUCCUAAGGAAGCCUUAUUAUUUAUCUUUCUGCAAAUAUGGGCUACCUGAAAAGGGGGGGAAAAGUCAGUAUUGUCAAGCUGUUUAUUUACUCUUUCCUUGAAAAGUUCACCUUCUGAAAAUUACCUUUUAGCUCUCUCAGAUUCUUCCCCAAAUGAGGGAGGGUGCAGACAACAUAGUCAGCUCUGCAGAGUUUGGAGGGGCUCACUGCCACGGGGUAGUCAGGACCUCUGUGGACUGGGUGUCAGCUCUUUCCUUUGGCAGCGUGUUUCCUUCUCCGAGUAUGUGCUGUUAAACUAGACUGGGCAGUUUGCUUUCCAUUCCCUGAUACUUGACAUGGAAUGCCUUUGACCAUUGGUGCUCUGACAGAGAAGUCACGGAGUCACUGCCAUUUCCUGGUUGCCCUUUUGGAAUGUGAUCCUGUUAGUAGGGGUUUUCUAGCUUCUACUAAGAUAUUUAUUUCCCUAAUCAUCAUACACUUGACAUGUUUCAUUACGGUCUCCUUUCCCCUCACCUUAAAGGAGACCACCCCUUUGCCCCAUAUUCUCAACCUAAUUUUUUCUCAUAUUCACUCUCUCUAGUCAAUGAUGUGCUACUAAGUAUAUGCCAGGCUGUGACGUUUAUGGUGAGUAGUAGAAAGAAGCUAAUUGGAAAUAAAAAUUAUUUGGAUAAUUAAGAAAGCAAAUUAUAUGCACAUGGCCAAUAGGAAGUUGACUGUAUGUCUGCUAGUUACAUUCAAAACAUCAUAAAGAUGAUGGCAUGCCAAUAUAUUAGCCUAGUCAUGAUGUUAGCCUUUUUUAGACGGGCAGCUUUUCUGCUUUUUCCCUUCCUCUGUGAUGAAAAUGGAGGAAAUACCCAGUAGAAAUAAGUUUAACAGGGAAAUUGGGAUCUCAGUUUAUAUGUAUCUGAUUUCAAAGGAGUAUUAAGGAAGGUUUUCAUGCAUGAUCUAUCUUUGGAUUAAGGAGAACAUUUAUGAAAUCAAGCCUUCUAACACUAGUUAUAAUUGAGAAGCAGCAGUAACUCCAUGGACAGCAAUCAAGCUUAAAAUUAUAAAUAAAUAUGGGGUUAAUUCAGUUGUUGCAAAAAACGGGGGAGGCAGAAUUCAGUAGAAUAAAGUCCUUUUCUCUCUACAAGUAUUAAAUGAGGACAGAGAACCUCAGGUGUUCUUAAGUUAGUGCUUCCUGAGUGCAUACUAAGAAAGCAAUUCCAAAUAGAUGUAUACAUCUAGAAAGGGUGGUAGUAGAGGUUUCACUGUAUGUAUUUGGAAACUGGAAUAUAAUCCCAUAAAUUAUUACCUUUUAUGACUAGAAAAUAUUUGCCAAUGAAGAAGGGGUCUUUAGGUAUUUGUCUUGAGACUUUUAGCUGUUUAAUAAAAAUAUAAUUUUA